rnacentral:tRNA from 8 species
GUCCCUAUAGCUCAGUAGGAUAGAGCAGCGGUUUCCUAAACCGCGUGCCGGAGGUUCGAAUCCUCUUAGGGACGCCA